CGCCGAAGCCGCGGCACUCCACCAUGACAUCCCUUCGCCCUUACGGGGGUGGAGGUAGUGGGUGGGGUGGGUAGGGGAGCGUCCUGCAUCCCUGGAAGCACCGGCGUGAGCUAGGUGUGGAGGGUGUGGGAGUGAGAAUGCAGGCAUGAGUAGCGAAAGCAGAGUGAGAAACUCUGCCGCCGGAUGACCAAGGGUUCCUGGGCCAGGCUAAUCCGCCCAGGGUGAGUCGGGACCUAAGGCGAGGCCGACAGGCG
rnacentral:rRNA from 1 species